UGAGGAAUAUUGGGCAAUGCCCGCAAGGGUGACCCAGCAACGCCGCGUGGAGGAUGAAUGUCGUAAGAUUGUAAACUCCUGUUAGAGGGGAAGAAUAGUACCGGUUGGACCGGUAUAUGACUGUACCCUCAGAGAAAGCCCCGGCUAACUACGUGCCAGCAGCCGCGGUAAUACGUAGGGGGCAAGCGUUGUCCGGAUUUACUGGGUGUAGAGGGCGCGCAGGCGGAAUGGAAAGUCAGUGGUGAAAUCCUACAGCUUAACUGUAGAACUGCCUUUGAUACUUUCAUUCUUGAGUUCGGGAGAGAGAGACGGAAUUCCAGGUGUAGCGGUGAAAUACGUAGAUAUCUGGAAGAACACCAGUUGCGAAGGCGGUCUCUUGGUCCGAUACUGACGCUGAGGCGCGAAAGCGUGGGGAGCAAACA
rnacentral:rRNA from 1 species